rnacentral:rRNA from 1 species
AUUGAACGCUGGCGGCAGGCCUAACACAUGCAAGUCGAGCGAGCGGCGGACGGGUGAGUAAUGCCUGGGAAUUGCCCAGUCGAGGGGGAUAACAGUUGGACACGACUGCUAAUACCGCAUACGAUUGGAUUGCCUAGGUGGGUAUAGCUAGUUGGUGAGGUAAUGGCUCACCAAGGCGACGAUCCCUAUCUGGUCUGAGAGGAUGAUCAGCCACACUGGAACUGAGACACGGCCCAGACUCCUACGGGAGGCAGCAGUGGGGAAUAUUGCACAAUGGGGGAAAGCCUGAUGCAGCCAUGCCGCGUGUGUGAAGAAGGCCUUCGGGUUGUAAAGUACUUUCAGCGGGGAGGCGUUACUCGCAGAAGAAGCACCGGCUAACUCCGUGCCAGCAGCCGCGGUAAUAC